GUUUUGCAUAGAGGGGUGGGGAGGACCUGGAGGGGAGUUUUAGCUCCAGGCUAUUUUGAGCCAAGUAACAUUCCUUCAUCCCAGACCCUAAGGAAUAUAUAGAAAAAGAGAAAGAGAGCCGUCAGGGUCUCAAGCAAAAGAACAGUCUUGACUUGGUCUCGGGAAAUGGCUCAGAUUCGGCCUUGGAGGAAUCUCUGGAAAAGAUUAAACAAACAAGGCCCAAAGAUGGCACUUCAAGACAGCAGAUGCUAUUUCUAUGUAUCUUUGUCUCUUCAGACAAAAUCCAACUCAUCUCAAAUGUAUUCACUGUAUACCUUCUGGGUUGCAGUGGAGUGUUUAUGACUGAGCUCAGACUUCUGGUGGGCUCACAGUAGAUGCUCAGACCGUGUACAUGAAGCUCUGCCACCAACCUGCCCUGUGACCUCAGGUGAGUUAUGACAUCUCUCCAGGAGUUUGCUCAUUGGGAGUAGGUAAUUUCUUUCCUUCUUUCUCUUUCUUUUUUAAAAAAAUAAUUUAUUUGGCACCA